CCUACGGGUGGCAGCAGUCGAGAAUCAUUCACAAUGGGGGAAACCCUGAUGGUGCGACGCCGCGUGGGGGAAUGUAGGUCUUCGGAUUGUAAACCCCUGUCAUGUGGGGGCAAAUUAAAAAGAUAGUACCACAAGAGGAAGAGACGGCUAACUCUGUGCCAGCAGCCGCGGUAAUACAGAGGUCUCAAGCGUUGUUCGGAAUCACUGGGCGUAAGGGGUGCGUAGGCUGUUUCGUAAGUCGUGUGUGAAAGGCGCGGGCUCAACCCGCGGCCGGCACAUGAUACUGCGAGACUAGAGUGAGGGAGGGGUAGCCGGAAUGUGCGGUGUAGCAGUGAAAUGCGUAGAUAUCGAGAGGAACACUCGUUGCGAAGGCGGGUUCCUGGACAUUAACUGACGCUGAGGCACGAAGGCGAGGGGAGCGAAAGGGAUUAGAUACCCCAGUAGUC
rnacentral:rRNA from 1 species